AGAUUGAGCCAUAAUUUGUUUCUUCUUGAAUUUAAUGUCGUGGUGAUGAUGACAAAUUUGUCUGGUAGUCCCAUAUUUUCCUUUUUGUUUGUUUUGGCCCUUAUUUUCAAUCAUUAUGAAAUCUGUUCUGGAAAAGUUUACACAAAAUGUAAUGGCAGAAAGAGCUGCUUAUUCUGAAAAAGGGAAUACUAUUCUUUGCAUUGGGAAAUACCUAAUUUAUAAAUACAACUUUGUCACUGUUUUCUGUUCAUUCUGAUUAAUCUGGAUCGGUUGCUGCCUUGCCAUAUGAACUGAUUUAGUGUUUAU
rnacentral:misc_RNA from 1 species